AGGAGUCAGAGAGCACAUAUCCCUUCUCCCCAGUAGGUGAAAAACACCGAUGGCCUUCGUGUCCGUGAAGCCCCGCCGUGAAGGGAGGGCAAGUUGAAGACAUCGUCAGAUGACAAACAAAAACAGAGUUAGCUGCCGUAGGCCCUUACCGUGGAAACUACUGAAGAAUGAACCUAAGACACAAGAAAACUGAACCCAAAAGGAAAUAGGGAAAUGCAAGAAAAAAUGGGGCUUCUCCCACACUUCUUGCUGCCACCAGGUGAAGAAGGAUGUGUUUGCUUCCCCUUCCACCAUGAUUGUAAGUUUCCUGAGGCCU
rnacentral:lncRNA from 1 species